rnacentral:rRNA from 1 species
GAUGAACGCUGGCGGCGUGCCUAAUACAUGCAAGUCGAGCGAACGGACGAGAAGCUUGCUUCUCUGAUGUUAGCGGCGGACGGGUGAGUAACACGUGGAUAACCUACCUAUAAGACUGGGAUAACUUCGGGAAACCGGAACUAAUACCGGAUGAUAUUUUGAACCGCAUGGUUCAAAAGUGAAAGACGGUCUUGCUGUCACUUAUAGAUGGAUCCGCGCUGCAUUAGCUAGUUGGUAAGGUAACGGCUUACCAAGGCAACGAUGCAUAGCCGACCUGAGAGGGUGAUCGGCCACACUGGAACUGAGACACGGUCCAGACUCCUACGGGAGGCAGCAGUAGGGAAUCUUCCGCAAUGGGCGAAAGCCUGACGGAGCAACGCCGCGUGAGUGAUGAAGGUCUUCGGAUCGUAAAACUCUGUUAUUAGGGAAGAACAUAUGUGUAAGUAACUGUGCACAUCUUGACGGUACCUAACCAGAAAGCCACGGCUAACUACGUG